GGAGGUGUCUGAGUACCUGGUGGGCUCCCCGCCUUCAAAGCGGGUGGACGGGCGAUCCCCGUCCGGCGGGUUCGAUUCCCGUCCACCUCCGC
rnacentral:tRNA from 1 species